rnacentral:rRNA from 1 species
UCUCGUGACAAUAGCGAAGGGGUCACACCUGUUCCCAUCCCGAACACAGCAGUUAAGCCCUUCAGCGCUGAUGGUACUUGGGUGGAGACGCCCUGGGAGAGUAAGUCGUUGCGGGAU